rnacentral:rRNA from 1 species
AUGAGCAUAACCUGGAUCACAUUGACAAGCUUGAUCUUCUUGGUUAUCAUGUUCUGGAUGCACGUCUGGAGCCCAGUUAUCUCGUCCGAAGAUCCCCAGCAUUUUCCCCGUUGUCCGUUUUGCAAUCCGGCGCUCCCAUCUCCUCCGGCGCACCCCUCUUGUUAUCUUUCAUGA